AGAAGCCAUACGCCUUAAUUGUUGCAUAAACUGAGUGCCUGCAGAAGCCAUACGCUUUGAUGGUUGAGUAAACUGAACGUCUGCGGGAGCCAUACGCUUUGAUUAUUGAGUAAACUGAACGUCUGCAGGAGCCAUACGCUUUGAUUGUUGACGAAGGCAAGGCGUGGUUUUUCGGUCACGCUGCGGGGAAAUGUGACCAUAGCGCGUGAGUCGGACGUCUUUGGGUCGGUAGGGCUGCUCGGGCGCUUCCAGGUCGGAGGGUCUGCUCGGGCGCCUCCAGGUCGGAGGGUCUGCUCGGGCGCUCAUGCAGUCGUGACGAC
rnacentral:lncRNA from 1 species